UAGAUUGAAGCCCGCUGGUUUGGGCGUUUAGCUGUUAAUUAAAAUUUUACAGGAUCAAGGCCUGUCGGUCUAU
rnacentral:tRNA from 1 species